rnacentral:rRNA from 1 species
AACGAACGCUGGCGGCAUGCCUAACACAUGCAAGUCGAACGAGACCUUCGGGUCUAGUGGCGCACGGGUGCGUAACGCGUGGGAAUCUGCCCUCUGGUUCGGAACAACAGUUGGAAACGACUGCUAAUACCGGAUAAUGACUUCGGUCCAAAGAUUUAUCGCCUGAGGAUGAGCCCGCGUCGGAUUAGCUUGUUGGUGAGGUAAAAGCUCACCAAGGCGACGAUCCGUAGCUGGUCUGAGAGGAUGAUCAGCCACACUGGGACUGAGACACGGCCCAGACUCCUACGGGAGGCAGCAGUGGGGAAUAUUGGACAAUGGGCGAAAGCUUGAUCCAGCAAUGCCGCGUGAGUGAUGAAGGCCUUAGGGUUGUAAAGCUCUUUUACCCGGGAUGAUAAUGACAGUACCGGGAGAAUAAGCCCCGGCUAACUCCGUGCCAGCAGCCGCGGUAACAC